ACUCCUCCAAACUCCAAAUACUUAAAGAUAUGGCAUGCACCAGUAGUAACCAAAAAGAUCAAGUGAUGACCAAUUCAAAAUACUAACAAGUUCAAGAUACUCUAAGGACAUCAUUGAAAUGAGUAAUCAUUGAGUAGCUGAAUCUGUAAAGCGAAAAGCGGAUCCUUGAGAAGAAAAAAAUUGCUGCAUCAUACCCUCAAAUUCGGACAAUCUGGACUCCAAUUGAUCAAUAAUCUUCUUUUGCUCUUGCAGCUCAAC
rnacentral:lncRNA from 1 species